rnacentral:rRNA from 1 species
AUUGAACGCUGGCGGCAGGCCUAACACAUGCAAGUCGAGCGGAUGAAGGGAGCUUGCUCCUGGAUUCAGCGGCGGACGGGUGAGUAAUGCCUAGGAAUCUGCCUGGUAGUGGGGGAUAACGUCCGGAAACGGGCGCUAAUACCGCAUACGUCCUGAGGGAGAAAGUGGGGGAUCUUCGGACCUCACGCUAUCAGAUGAGCCUAGGUCGGAUUAGCUAGUUGGUGGGGUAAAGGCCUACCAAGGCGACGCUCCGUAACUGGUCUGAGAGGAUGAUCAGUCACCCUGGCACUGAGACACGGCCCCGACUCCGACGGGAGGCCGCAGUGGGGAAUAUUGGACAAUGGGCGAAAGCCUGAUCCAGCCAUGCCGCGUGUGUGAAGAAGGUCUUCGGAUUGUAAAGCACUUUAAGUUGGGAGGAAGGGCAGUAAGUUAAUACCUGGCUGUUUUGACGUUACCAACAGAAUAAGCCCCGGCUAACUUCGUG